rnacentral:rRNA from 1 species
AGUGAACGCUGGCGGUAGGCCUAACACAUGCAAGUCGAACGGCAGCACAGUAAGAGCUUGCUCUUACGGGUGGCGAGUGGCGGACGGGUGAGGAAUACAUCGGAAUCUACUUUUUCGUGGGGGAUAACGUAGGGAAACUUACGCUAAUACCGCAUACGACCUACGGGUGAAAGCAGGGGAUCUUCGGACCUUGCGCGAUUGAAUGAGCCGAUGUCGGAUUAGCUAGUUGGCGGGGUAAAGGCCCACCAAGGCGACGAUCCGUAGCUGGUCUGAGAGGAUGAUCAGCCACACUGGAACUGAGACACGGUCCAGACUCCUACGGGAGGCAGCAGUGGGGAAUAUUGGACAAUGGGCGCAAGCCUGAUCUAGCCAUACCGCGUGGGUGAAGAAGGCCUUCGGGUUGUAAAGCCCUUUUGUUGGGAAAGAAGAGCAGCAGGUUAAUACCCCGCUGUUCUGACGGUACCCAAAGAAUAAGCACCGGCUAACUUCGUG